rnacentral:rRNA from 1 species
AGUGAACGCUGGCGGCAGGCCUAACACAUGCAAGUCGAGCGGCAGCGCGGGGGCAACCCUGGCGGCGAGCGGCGGACGGGUGAGGAAUUCGUCGGAAUCUGCCUUUUUGUGGGGGAUAACGUAGGGAAACUUACGCUAAUACCGCAUACGUCCUACGGGAGAAAGUGGGGACCGCAAGGCCUCACGCAGAAAGAUGAGCCGACGACCGAUUAGCUAGUUGGUGGGGUAAAGGCCCACCAAGGCGACGAUCGGUAGCUGGUCUGAGAGGAUGAUCAGCCACACUGGGACUGAGACACGGCCCAGACUCCUACGGGAGGCAGCAGUGGGGAAUAUUGGACAAUGGGCGCAAGCCUGAUCCAGCCAUGCCGCGUGUGUGAAGAAGGCCUUCGGGUUGUAAAGCACUUUUGUCCGGAAAGAAAUCCCUGGAGCUAAUACCUUCGGGGGAUGACGGUACCGGAAGAAUAAGCACCGGCUAACUUCGUG